ACGACCUUUGUGCCGCUUUCGAAUCUGAUUCGUUGCUGCUGAACACAUGGGUAAAUUACCGACAUUUUGUUGACUGACUUGAACGACGAAGCACUUCCGAUGUGGGCACGUUUUUAUUUCGUCUGCAAUUGUUUGCAAUCGAUUAAGAGUUGGCGAGUAUUUGCUGUUAUCCUCUUAGCUGCUCUUCCUCUGCAGAAACUAAAUUUCGCAGUUAAAAUAUUAAUCCACUGACCAGAACAACCAAGGCGUAAAGAGACGAUCAAGCCACUAUAUCCUUUUGAUAUCCAUUCUGGCAGUUCAACCAUGAGGUCAGUUGACGGAUCUAGCUUGGAUGAGAAACACUCAUUUGCAUUUCAUUCGGAGUAGUCCGUCCCAUUCCUGUCCGUUCCGGCCCCUACACCUGGACAAUAGCUUGACGGCGGCUAAAGGAUAGCCUCAUAUUAGUCUCGUCUCUUCUCGGUACAGAUUGGAGCUUAAUAAUGACUCGUGCAGAUGGAGUAAUUGUAUCCGAAAUAGAGAGUCAAUGCUCCAGUGGACUUGAUCCAAGAACCAAACCCCCCUUUUAUUUCGGAUCACAAUAAAAGCAUCUCAUAAACCGAAUUGUCAUUAGAUUGGAUCGUCAAAAUUACUUUGUAGUACAUUGCAGUGUAUCGGUAAAAUUCUGUUCAGUGCUUAUCGGAAUGAAAUUUUCAACGCUCAUUGUUACUUUUAGGAUUAGAGUUAAUACUGCACUGCAUGGCUGAAUCACAGAAUACAUAUUCUUUAAAAAAAAGUAUCAAGCGCUAAAUUAAAAUAUAUCUGAAUUUUAAUGAACAUAAAACGACAUGAAACAUGAGACGAGUUUAUAUUUCAUGAAUUAGCAGCUUAUUCUUCCAAUGUACUGAAAUUAUUAAGAUUAUGAUAAUAUAUUAAGUGUAUAAUAAUAAUAACUAUGUAUAUGAUUUAAUGUAAAUAUAAUUAUAUAUAUAUAUUAAAAUUGAAGAGAAACAGUUAUAAUUGCCAUAUAAUACCACCAAUCGCUGAAACUGCUCCUGCACUGUCUGCAUGGUAAUUCCCCCUUGACGAAGCUGCCAUGUAUGUCAGUGCAUCCACUUUAAUUUAUUUUUAAUAUUUUUUCUCUUUUUGUUAAAAAGGUUGCUAUUUCCAGUUGUAUUUUUCACAGUUGGCUGUCAAGUUGGUCCCUACCACCCACUUGUGGGCGUUUCAGCUUUCAGGAUUUUUGCUCGAUACUGAAGUACUUUAUUUACCAUUUUUUUUAAAUUAUUGCAGUGAAUUGAAGAAAUGGUAAUUACAAGUUAAAAUUAAAAAGAAAAGUUUAAGUAAUUUUGAAAGCUUAUUUAUUCUGCCUCUAAUCGAGUGAAGAUGGAUUUAUUUAAAUACAGCUAAAUU